rnacentral:misc_RNA from 1 species
AACGCACGAGACCUGCGGACCUGCGGAAGGAUCAUUAAUGAGAAACUGCCCCUCGCGGGUAGAUCUCCCACCCUUUGUAAACUUACCUUUGUUGCUUUGGCAGGCCCGUCUCCGGACCGCCGGCUUCGGCUGGCCAGUGCCUGCCAGAGGAUUCUAAAACUCUGUCUGUCAGCGUUGUCUGAGUCUAUAUACAAUCGUUAAAACUUUUAACAACGGAUCUCUAGAUCGGAAGAGCACACG